rnacentral:rRNA from 1 species
GGGGGAUAUUGCACAAUGGAGGAAACUCUGAUGCAGCAACGCCGCGUGAGGGAAGAAGGUCUUCGGAUUGUAAACCUCUGUCCUCAGGGACGAUAAUGACGGUACCUGAGGAGGAAGCUCCGGCUAACUACGUGCCAGCAGCCGCGGUAAUACGUAGGGAGCGAGCGUUGUCCGGAUUUACUGGGUGUAAAGGGUGCGUAGGCGGCUCUGCAAGUCAGGUGUGAAAACUAUGGGCUUAACUCAUAGAUUGCACUUGAAACUGUGGGGCUUGAGUGGAGCAGAGGCAGGCGGAAUUCCCGGUGUAGCGGUGAAAUGCGUAGAGAUCGGGAGGAACACCAGUGGCGAAGGCGGCCUGCUGGGCUUUAACUGACGCUGAGGCACGAAAGCAUGGGUAGCAAAC